AACGAACGCUGGCGGCAUGCCUAACACAUGCAAGCCGAACGAGACCUUCGGGUCUAGUGGCGCACGGGUGCGUAACGCGUGGGAACCUGCCUUUAGGUUCGGAAUAACUCAGAGAGAUUUGAGCUAAUACCGGAUGAUCUCUUCGGACCAAAGAUUUAUCGCCUUUAGAUGGGCCCGCGUUGGAUUAGCUAGUUGGUGGGGUAAAGGCCUCCCAAGGCGACGAUCCAUAGCUGGUCUGAGAGGAUGAUCAGCCACACUGGGACUGAGACACGGCCCAGACUCGUACGGGAGGCAGCAGUGGGGAAUAUUGGACAAUGGGCGAAAGUCUGAUCCAGCAAUGCCGGGUGAGUGAUGAAGGCCUUAGGAUUGUAAAGCUGUUUUACCCGAGAUGAUAAUGACAGUAUCGGGAGAAUAAGCUCCGGCUAACUCCGUG
rnacentral:rRNA from 1 species